UACGUAGGGUGCAAGCGUUGUCCGGAAUUAUUGGGCGUAAAGAGCUCGUAGGCGGUCUGUCGCGUCUGCUGUGAAAACUCGGGGCUUAACCCCGGGCCUGCAGUGGGUACGGGCAGACUAGAGUGCGGUAGGGGAGACUGGAAUUCCUGGUGUAGCGGUGAAAAUGCGCAGAUAUCAGGAGGAACACCGGUGGCGAAGGCGGGUCUCUGGACCGUAACUGACGCUGAGGAGCGAAAGCAUGGGGAGCGAACAGG
rnacentral:rRNA from 1 species